rnacentral:rRNA from 1 species
GAAGAACCUUACCUGGACUUGACAUUGAUAGGAUCCUGUAGAGAUAUGGGAGUGCUAGCUUGCUAGAGCUUGAAAACAGGUGCUGCACGGCUGUCGUCAGCUCGUGUCGUGAGAUGUUGGGUUAAGUCCCGCAACGAGCGCAACCCACGUCGUUAGUUGCUAACAGUUAGGCUGAGAACUCUAACGAGACUGCCUUCGUAAGGAGGAGGAAGGUGUGGACGACGUCAAGUCAUCAUGGCCCUUACGUCCAGGGCUACACACGUGCUACAAUGGGAUAUACAAAGAGCAGCGAUACAGUGAUGUGGAGCAAAUCUCAUAAAAUAUCUCCCAGUUCGGAUUGUAGUCUGCAACUCGACUACAUGAAGUUGGAAUCGCUAGUAAUCGUAGAUCAGCAUUGCUACGGUGAAUACGUUCCCGGGUCUUGUACACACCGA